GACGAACGCUGGCGGCGUGCCUAAUACAUGCAAGUUGAGCGCUGAAGGUUGGUACUUGUACCAACUGGAUGAGCAGCGAACGGGUGAGUAACGCGUGGGGAAUCUGCCUUUGAGCGGGGGACAACAUUUGGAAACGAAUGCUAAUACCGCAUAAAAACUUUAAACACAAGUUUUAAGUUUGAAAGAUGCAAUUGCAUCACUCAAAGAUGAUCCCGCGUUGUAUUAGCUAGUUGGUGAGGUAAAGGCUCACCAAGGCGAUGAUACAUAGCCGACCUGAGAGGGUGAUCGGCCCACUUGGGACUGAGACACGGCCCCAACUCCUACGGGAGGCAGCAGUAGGGAAUCUUCGGCAAUGGACGAAAGUCUGACCGAGCCACGCCGCGUGAGUGAAGAAGGUUUUCGGAUCGUAAAACUCUGUUGGUAGAGAAGAACGUUGGUGAGAGUGGAAAGCUCAUCAAGUGACGGUAACUACCCAGAAAGGGACGGCUAACUACGUG
rnacentral:rRNA from 1 species